AACUAGAAACAAACAUUUAAGGAAAAAAAAAACUAACAAGCAGAUCCAUCCGACAUUGAUUAUACCUUUUUUUCCUUAAAUUUUCUUUCUUAAAAGCUCCAAACAUUUUAAUAAUUUGAUUUUACCUUGGUACUUUUAAAAGUAAAUUAAAAAGAAAAAUAAAAAUAAAAAAUGAAGAGAGUAUUUGGCAUUAACAAGAAAGAUAAAGAACCUCCUCCUUCCAUCAAUGAAGCUUCUGAUCGGAUCAAUAAAAGAGGAGAGUCGGUGGAUGAGAAAAUUAAGCGACUUGAUGGGGAACUUGCCAGAUAUAAAGAACAGAUCAAAAGAACCCGUCCUGGCCCUGCUCAAGAAGCUGUGAAAGCUCGGGCGAUGAGAGUUCUCAAGCAGAAAAGAAUGUACGAAGGACAACGUGACAUGCUAUACAACCAAACUUUCAAUCUAGAUCAAGUGGCAUUUGCUUCAGAGGGUAUCAAAGAUGCUCAACAAACAAUGUCAGCUCUUAAAUCAGCAAACAAAGAGUUGAAAGGAAUGAUGAAGGCCGUCAAGAUCCAAGAAAUCGACAAUUUACAAGAUGACAUGGCGGACUUGAUGGAUGUUAGCAAUGAAAUACAAGAAUCUCUUGGUAGAAACUACAAUGUGCCUGAUGACAUUGAUGAAGAAGAUCUCAUGGGUGAACUUGAUGCUCUGGAGGCAGAUAUGGGACUUGAAACUGAAAGUGAAGGGGUACCUUCAUAUCUUCAACCUGAUAAUGUAACCGAUUUCAAUGAUGAACUCAAUUUGCCUUCAGCUCCCAGUGGGCAUGCAUUACCGGCUCGAAAGGUUAGCAAUCAGGCGGAAGAUGAAUUUGGUUUACCACCAGUCCCCCGUGCAUCUCUACGUGGUUAGGACUAUAGAGGAUUGUUAACUUCUAUUGUUGGCUCUGUUUGGUUGAUGCUUUAAGACCAUUGGAACGUUAUACUGAAAAUAGAUGGAACGGGGUUGCAAGAGGAAUCACAAAGAUCGGGUCGCGUGGAAAUGUGACCAAAUCAACAAAAAUAAAAAUAAAAACUCAAUCUGGGAAAAGACUAAUAAAUAUGAGCAGAUGGCUUCGUUCAUUUCUAAUUAAGAUUUAGCACAAGAAGAUCAAAUAUAAGUCGUUCAGUAAAAUUUAUUUCAUCGUUCUAAAGUAAUGAGCCUUUUCCAUCUUAAUUAUAAACGAAACC